rnacentral:rRNA from 1 species
AUGAUGAAUAAGGUGUUCAUGGAGUUCUUGGAUAAGUUUGUUGUGGUGUUCAUUGAUGAUAUCUUGGUAUACUCGAAGAAUGGAGAGGAACACAAGGAGCAUUUGCGUUUAGUUCUCGAGAAGCUCAGGGAACAUCAGUUAUGUGCCAAGUUCAGCAAAUGCGAGUUUUGGUUGAAGGAAGUUGGAUUUCUUGGACAUGUUAUAUCAGGAGAAGGUAUAACAGUAGACCCUACCAAGGUUCAGUCUGUCACUGAUUGGCUAGCACCCACCUCAGUAGGAGAGAUCCGCAGUUUUCUUGGACUCGCGGGAUACUACUGGAGAUUCAUUGAGAAUUUCUCUAAGAUUGCGAAGCCCAUGACAGAGUUGUUGAAGAAGGACACCAAGUUCAAAUGGACAGAUGAAUGUGAGGCAAGUUUCCAGGAGUUGAAGAAACGUUUGGUUACAGCCCCAAUGCUGAUUCUGCUGGAUAUACGCAAGGAUUUCCAAGUGUAUUGCGACGCUUCUCGCUUAGGACUUGGAAGUGUACUUAUGCAAGAUGGAAGAGUUGUUUCAUAUGCCUCACGACAGCUUCGACCACAUGAGUUGAAUUAUGCCACGCAUGAUUAG